rnacentral:rRNA from 1 species
AGAUUGAACGUCUAGUCGGCAUGCCUAACACAUGGCAAGUCGGAACGGUAACAGGCCCUUCGGGGUGCUGACGAGUGGCGGACGGGUGAGUAAUGCGUAGGAAUCUACCCACGAGUGGGGGAUAGCCCGGUAGAAAUCCGGGAUUAAUUACCGCAUAUGGCCCCUACGGGGUAAAGGCGGGGGAUCGUAAGACCUCGCGCUGGUGGAUGAGCCUACGUCCGAUUACG